rnacentral:misc_RNA from 1 species
AGCAGCCGCGGUAAUUCCAGCUCCAAUAGCGUAUAUUAAAGUUGUUGCAGUUAAAAGCUCGUAGUUGAAUUUCGGGAUCAAAGGAUCGGUCAUGCCUUGGUAUGUACUGGUUUUAUUGGUUCUCACCUUCUAAAGAACCAUAAUGUCAUUCAUUUGAUGUUACGGGGAAUUAGGACUGUUACCUUGAAAAAUUAGAGUGUUUAAAGCAGGCUUACGCUUGAAUACAUUAGCAUGGAAUAAUGAAAUAGGACAUCAGAUUCUAUUUUGUUGGUUUCUAGGAUCGAUGUAAUGAUUAAUAGGGAUAGUUGGGGGCAUUAGUAUUCAAUUGUCAGAGGUGAAAUUCUUGGAUUUAUUGAAGACUAACUACUGCGAAAGCAUUUGCCAAGGAUGUUUUCAUUAAUCAAGAACGAAAGUUAGGGAUCGAAGACGAUCAGAUACCGUCGUAGUCUUAACCAUAAACUAUGCCGACUAGGGAUCGGAUGAUGUUAAUUUUAUAAUUGACUCAUUCGGUA